GACGAACCGAGCGAACGUUGUUCGGAAUCACUGGGCUUAAAGGGCGCGUAGGCGGGUGCUCAAGUCUGUGGUGAAAUCCUCCGGCUCAACCGGAGAACUGCCAUGGAUACUGGGUGCCUCGAGGGUGGUAGGGGUAUGCGGAACUAUCGGUGGAGCGGUGAAAUGCGUUGAUAUCGAUAGGAACUCCGGUGGCGAAGGCGGGUCUCUGGGCCGAUACUGACGCUGAGGAGCGAAAGCGUGGGGAGCGAACAGG
rnacentral:rRNA from 1 species